rnacentral:rRNA from 1 species
UACGAAGGGAGCUAGCGUUGUUCGGAAUCACUGGGCGUAAAGCGCACGUAGGCGGAUGUGUCAGUCAGGGGUGAAAUCCCGGAGCUCAACUUCGGAACUGCCUUUGAUACAGCACGUCUUGAGUCCGAUAGAGGUGGGUGGAAUUCCUAGUGUAGAGGUGAAAUUCGUAGAUAUUAGGAAGAACACCGGUGGCGAAGGCGGCCCACUGGAUCGGUAC